rnacentral:rRNA from 1 species
CGGCAACAGCUCAAAUUUGAAAUCUGGCUCUUUCAGGGUCCUAGUUGUAAUUUGUAGAAGAUGCUUUGGGUGUGGCUCCGGUCUAAGUUCCUUGGAACAGGACGUCAUAGAGGGUGAGA